UGGGGAAUAUUGCGCAAUGGGCGAAAGCCUGACGCAGCGACGCCGCGUGGGUGAUGAAGGCCUUCGGGUCGUAAAGCCCUGUCGGGAGGGACGAAACCUCGGUGACCUAAUACGUCACCGACCUGACGGUACCUCUUAAGGAAGCACCGGCUAACUACGUGCCAGCAGCCGCGGUAAUACGUAGGGUGCGAGCGUUAAUCGGAAUUACUGGGCGUAAAGCGUGCGCAGGCGGUUUUGUAAGACAGAUGUGAAAUCCCCGGGCUUAACCUGGGAACUGCGUUUGUGACUGCAAGGCUGGAGUACGGCAGAGGGGGGUGGAAUUCCACGUGUAGCAGUGAAAUGCGUAGAGAUGUGGAGGAACACCGAUGGCGAAGGCAGCCCCCUGGGCCUGUACUGACGCUCAUGCACGAAAGCGUGGGGAGCAAACA
rnacentral:rRNA from 1 species